rnacentral:rRNA from 1 species
AUUGAACGCUGGCGGCAGGCCUAACACAUGCAAGUCGAGCGGAGCGGCUGACGGGUGAGUAAUGCCUAGGAAUCUGCCUGGUAGUGGGGGAUAACGUCCUGAAACGGGCGCUAAUACCGCAUACUAUCAGAUGAGCCUAGGUCUGAUUAGCUAGUUGGUGGGGUAAAGGCCUACAAAGGCGACGAUCCGUAACUGGUCUGAGAGGAUGAUCGGUCACACUGGAACUGAGACAAGGUCCAUACUCCUACGGGAGGCAGCAGUGGGGAAUAUUGGGCAAUGGGCGAAAGCUUGAUCCAGCCAUGCCGCGUGUGUGAAGAAGGUCUUCGGAUUGUAAAGCACUUUAAGUUGGGAGGCGUUACCAGCAGAAUAAGCACCGGCUAACUUCGUGCCAGCCGCCGCGGUAAUUC